rnacentral:rRNA from 1 species
UACGAAGGGGGCUAGCGUUGUUCGGAAUUACUGGGCUUAAAGCGUGUGUAGGCGGAUCGUUAAGUGCCUUGUGAAAUCCCACGGCUCAACCGUGGAACUGCUCGGCAUACUGGCGAUCUUGAGCCACUUAGGGGCUACCGGAACAAAUGGUGGAGCGGUGAAAUGCGUAGAUAUCAUUUGGAACGCCAAUGGUGAAAACAGGUAGCUGGGAGUGUGCUGACGCUGAGACACGAAAGCCAGGGGAGCAAACGGG